CCCCGCCUGACCCGGCGAUGGCUCGUGGCCCCGUUGAGGCCGUGAAGCUGGAGGCCCGUGGUGUGCACAGGCAGCCACUCCCACACCACGACCGGGGCCCGAGAAUGCCAAGGACAUGAGGCAGGUAACUGGAGAUGCAGCCUGCUACUCCUCAUGUCGCUCCUGUUCCCUGAACCAGGCUGGGCCUCCAACUCGCCCCACAGGCAGGUGAGGCACGACAGCCAGAAACCCCAGAUCUGCAGUUCUCCCCAGGAUGAAAUGAAACACAGUGUGACAGGCUUCUGAAAAGGGAAUCAAUGUCUGUUUAUUAAGGUAGUUGCUCAUAAAAGUGACUUUCAAUAACAUUUUCACUAUGAAAA